rnacentral:rRNA from 1 species
UGGGGAAUAUUGCACAAUGGGCGCAAGCCUGAUGCAGCAAUGCCGCGUGAGUGAAGACGGCCUUAGGGUUGUAAAACUCUUUCGCUAGGGAAGAAAAUGACGGUACCUGCAGAAGAAGGUGCGGCCAACUACGUGCCAGCAGCCGCGGUGACACGUAGGCACCAAGCGUUGUCCGGAUUUAUUGGGCGUAAAGAGCUCGUAGGCGGUUCAGUAAGUCGGGUGUGAAAACUCUGGGCUCAACCCAGAGAGGCCACCCGAUACUGCUGUGACUUGAGUACGGUAGGGGAGCGGGGAAUUCCUGGUGUAGCGGUGAAAUGCGCAGAUAUCAGGAGGAACACCAGUGGCGAAGGCGCCGCUCUGGGCCGUAACUGACGCUGAGGAGCGAAAGCAUGGGUAGCAAA